rnacentral:tRNA from 1 species
GGGAGCUUAGCUCAGCUGGUUCAGAGCAUCUGCCUUACAAGCAGAGGGUCGGCGGUUCGAACCCGUCAGCUCCCACCC